CAAUAGCGUAUAUUAAAGUUGUUGCAGUUAAAAAGCUCGUAGUUGGACCUUGGACCUGGACAGGCGGUCCGCCUAACGGCGAGUACUGUCUUGCUGGGUCUUUCCUCUUGGUGAUCUGUUGUUUCGGCAGCAGGGAACCAGGACCUUUACUUUGAAAAAAUUAGAGUGUUCAAAGCAGGCUCGACGCCGGAAUAUAUUAGCAUGGAAUAAUAAAAUAGGACGGGCGGUUCUAUUUUGUUGGUUUUUGGAAUCGCCGUAAUGAUUAAUAGGGACAGUCGGGGGCAUUAGUACUCACAUGCUAGAGGUGAAAUUCUUGGAUUUUGUGAAGACUAACUUCUGCGAAAGCAUUUGCCAAGGAUGUUUUCAUUAA
rnacentral:rRNA from 1 species